rnacentral:misc_RNA from 1 species
CUCGAAUGAGAAAUUGGAAUUCAACAAAUAGCAAUCAAAAGGGGGAAGGAGGGAACGGAGACACUCGACUGAAAAUACAAGGAAGAGAGGGAAUAUAUCAGCAAUGGAGAUGAAAAGCCCACCUCCAUGUCCAAACACCGUCACCGUCCGUCGAAAUCCUCCGCGGAGGGCUAGGCCUACGCCUUCCACAAACCCUCACCAAAACCUCAUACCUCCAUCAUCGUCAUCAAAAUCAAAUAAACCAGAUAUUCUUCCAUUUCCGAUGCAAGAUAUUCUGUCAAUGGAAAUUCCUCAGAAUCCUCAACCCCACCCACCUCCCUCUUCACCAACCCCUGCCUCAGUUUCUGAGAAUCUCAGGGUUUAUCUUAGAAUUCGACCUCUUGUGCCUCCCAAGACAUCCAAAGAUGUCGUUGAUCAAAAGAGAAAAAAAAUUGCUUGGCCUCAAAACCCUGUCGCGAAGAAGAAUGGCAUAAGAGAGAAAAAUACAAAGAAAAAGAGUUGUAAGAUUUGUAUAUCAGUCAAUGAUCCUCAAUCAGUGACGCUAUCCCCGCCUCCAGCCUUGCAGGACUCUAAAAGGAUCAAGUCUGUGGUUUAUGAAGGGUUUUCUCGUGUUUUUGCAGCCGAUUCUUCUCAGAAUGAAGUGUAUGAUAUUAUGGUGAAGCCGUUGGUGGAGGAUUUUCUUAAUGGUAGAAAUGGAAUGCUAGCUGCUUUGGGACCUAGUGGUUCAGGCAAAACUCAUACGGUGUUUGGGACUGCCAGGGAGCCUGGGAUGGUUCCACUUGCACUUCAACACAUCUUUAAACAGACCAAGGAGUGUGGCUCUAAGUUGUCAAGGUCAUUCUACAUAUCCAUUUUUGAAAUAUAUUCUGAAGGAGGGAAGGCAGAGAGAAUGCUUGAUUUAUCCCCAGGUGGAGCUGACUUGACCAUGCAACAGUCAACUGUUAAAGGUCUACAAGAGGUUGCCAUUGCCGAUACUGCACAUGCAGAAUCGUUGAUAGCUUCUGCAAUGUUAAGACGUUCUACAGCCAUGACAAAUGCAAACAGCCAGUCAAGCCGGUCACAAUGCAUUAUAAACAUCCAUAGUCUUCUUAACAAGUGUGACAAGGAGCUAGAUGUUCAAUCAAAUAAUGCUGUCCUAACUAUUGUUGAUCUAGCUGGAGCUGAAAGAGAAAGGAGAACGGGGAAUCAGGGGUCAAGGUUGCUUGAAAGCAAUUUCAUCAACAAUACAUCGAUGGUUUUCGGUCUUUGCCUAAGAUCAUUAUUGGAGCAUCAAAAAAACCCCAAGAAGCCAUUGCAGAAGCACUUCCAGAAUUCUUUGUUGACUAGGUAUUUACGAGAUUAUUUGGAAGGAAAGAAGCGGAUGGCUUUGAUUUUAACAGUAAAACCAGGAGAAGAGGAUUAUCUUGAUACAGUCUACCUCUUGAGACAAUCAUCACCUUUUAUGAAAAUCAAGUUCAAUAACGUCGAUGAACAACCAAAUUCAGUUCAUCACAAGAGGCAUAUUCAAUCAUUGUAUGGAGUUGAAGAGCCAAAGAGAAAGAAAUACUGUGGCCUUGAUGCUAAUGAGAAAAAAGAAGGAAAAAGCACUGGAGAUGAACAUCUACUGUUGGAGGAAGGUUGUACCAAAGAAGUAGAAUAUGUGACAAAGGUGCUUGUUUAGUCACAGACGGGCCUCGAAUCUCAAAAUUCAACUCCAUUGAUACCGCACCUGUAAAGUCGGACUGUGGUGAUUGGGCAAUAAGGGAAAGAAAUCAUCAAAUUAUGCAAAAUUUUGCUAAAGCAUUAUGGAAUGUCUUGAAGGAAUACAAAGAGAAACUCACGGUGGCAGAAAAAGAAAAUGGGAAUCUCAAUGAGAAACUUAGAAGUGAAAAGUCAAGAUAUAUCGAGCUGGAAAAGGAGCUUGAAGAUUUCAAGUCCUGUUGUACUUGUUCCAAGGAAAAUUCAGUGGAGGCUCUUAAAGUAGAUACUGACAUUCAUGCCCCAGUACAUGUAGAGGGGAAUGAAUGUAGCAAUUUUGAUGAGGCACCCAAUGUCGUGGAAUCUAAGUGCGAUAAGUCUCCUAUCGUGUGCAGCUUGAAACCAGGACAGGAUCAAUAUUUAUUUCCUGACGUCCAUUCAAAAGUGAUAUUAUUUUUUUUUUUUCCUUGAAAUCUUUUGUAUUUUUUUUUCUUGGAAGUAGUUCAUUUUUGAAACUUGAUCUAUUUCCUCAGGUGCAUAAACCAUUUGUAUUUUACCCAAUAAUCACCUCAAUUUAUAAUCAAAAGUUAAAAAAAAAAAAAUUAUUAUUGUGAACUGGUACACCAGCUUGAGGAAGAAGAUAAAAAAUUGAAUCUGUUAUUGCAGUUAGAAUUGUUACAACUAAAAGAAGAUACCAAAAUGAGCUAGAGCUCAACUAAUAUAGUGACCUGUAGCUGAUAACCUUCCUGCACUUGUCUUGAUCAGUUGCUUACUAACUACUCGAAUUUAUAAAUUACACAACAAAACUAAAUAACAAUCAACAACAAAAAAUCAUUCUUCAAUUAUUCACUCGGAAUACAUGUGCAUUUCUGGUCUGAAAAGUGAAUUGAUCCAAGGCUUGCUUGUCCAGGUAGAAGCAAAGAGCCAUUCUCCCAACCUCAAGGCAUCUGAAUGCACUGGUACUCUCACACAUGAUCAGGAUGUUACUGGUCAGGUGGAUGAGAGUGUUCAUUCUCCUAACCUCAAGGAAUCUAAAUGCAGUAGCACUCCAACAUGGGAUCAGGAUAUUUCAACUCAGGCAGAAGUAAAGAGUUAUUCUCCUACCCUUAAGGCAUCUGAAUGCACAAGUAGUCAGCAUGAUCAGGAUGUUACAAGUCAGGUGGGUGAGAGUGUUCAUUCUCCCAACCACAAGGAAUCUAAAUGCGGUAGCACUCCAACACGGGAUCAGGAUAUUUCAACUCAGUCAGAAGUAAAGAGUCAUCAUUCUCCCAACCUCAAGGCAUUUGAAUGCACUGGUACUGCUACACAUGAUCAGGAUCUUACAAGUCAGGCGGGUGAGAAUGAUCCUUCUCCUAACCUCAAGGAAUCUAGAUGCAGUAGCACUCCG